GACGAACGCUGGCGGCGUGCCUAAUACAUGCAAGUCGAGCGAAGGGUUUCUGGUGCUUGCACUAGAAAAACUGAGCGGCGAACGUGUGAGUAACACGUAAAGAACCUGCCUCAUAGAGUGGGACAACUAUUGGAAACGAUAUCUAAUACCGGAUAACAGUAUUUCUCGCAUGUGAGAUAUUUAAAAGUUUGUUAUGCUAACACUAUGAGAUGUCUUUGCGGUGCAUUAGCUAGUUGGUGGGGUAAAGGCACACCAAGGCGACGAUGCAUAGCCGACCUGAGAGGGUGAUCGGCCACACUGGGACUGAGACACGGCCCAGACUCCUACGGGAGGCAGCAGUAGGGAAUCUUCCGCAAUGGGCGAAAGCCUGACGGAGCAACGCCGCGUGAGUGAAGAAGGAUUUCGGUUCGUAAAGCUCUGUUGUUAGGGAAGAAUGGAUAUGUAGUAACUAGACAUGUAAGUGACGGUACCUAAUCAGAAAGCCACGGCUAACUACGUG
rnacentral:rRNA from 1 species